UGCUUAAUUAAGGUGAUUAAUUAACUAGUCUUGUAUUGAGUUUAGGGCCUAUAUGACACUGUUGGCCCCCUUUAUCCUCUUAUGUCUAUUUUUUGUGUCCUUAGGUUUUGGGUAUGUUAUGGGUUAGUACUCUCAUCCUUUGAGGUUGGAGUCCCCCUUGCUUCUUUUCAGUGAUUGAAGAGUUAUUUUUUUGUGUGUAUUGGGCCUUAGGCCUGUACGAGAUUAGAGACCUUUUCUUUAACAGGUGUCUCUAGGGUUUUGGGUAUGUUAUGGGUUGGUACUCUCAUCCUUUGAGGUUGGAGUCCCCCUUGCUUUUUUUCAGUGGUUGAAGAAUUGUUUAUUUGAGUUUUUUAGGCCUUAGGCCUGUACGAGGUUAGAGACCCUUUCUUUAAGUUGUCUCUAGGCAAAAACACUCAGCAAGGUUUUCCCUAUAAGGAAGAAAAAAACCCAUCAUCUACCUUUUGAGCUGAUGGCUCGUGGAACCCGAAUUACAGAUUUGACUCCUAUGUAGCAGAACUGUUUGUUUAAACAACUCCUUAUUCCGGGUAAUUUCCUUAGAGAGUUAAUGUCUUUUGAUUCUAAGGCCUUAGGCCUGUACGAGAUUAGAGACCCUUUCUUUACCAGUUGUCUCUAGGGCUUGUAUGAAUUUGAGACUUUUUCUUUAACAGAUGUCUCUGGAGUAAAAGGCCUGUACGGGAUUAGAGACCCUUUCAUUAACAGGUGUCUCUAGGGUUCUCCUGCCCUCAGGAUCCUGGUCUGAGUCCUAGAACCUUAAUAUUUCAACCUCUAUGGUUGGUGGAGAGAAGAGAUUGAAAAUACAAGACAAAACAUUCAUAUGUCCAUACAUUUUAAAACCAGUUUUUGUAAUUCGUUCAGUUUUUCCUUUUGGAUAUACUUAUUCUUUUACAACAAGUUGUUUUGUCCUUUAAUAAAAGCAAAGGAAACUUAUCAAAAAGAUAUGUAUUUUUUUAUUCUUUUGUUUUCUUCAAAGGAAACUUAUUUUCAGUCCAUAAUUAUAUUUGGGAAGGAAGGUUCAUUAAAUCCUUUUUAACAAGAUUGUUUUGUUUUUGUAAAAAGUAAAGGAAACUUAUUCAAAGGAAACUUAUAAGGUUGUUAUUGAUAUUCCUCUUUCUUUUGGUGUCUUUUAUAUUUUUGUUUUUUAGGUGUUAGUUGAUCAAAUCAGCAUUGGGUGAAGGCCUUCCCUUAGUCCCCCAGCUUCUUCAACAAAACCAUGAUGGACC